UACGGGAGGCAGCAGUGGGGAAUAUUGCACAAUGGGCGCAAGCCUGAUGCAGCCAUGCCGCGUGUAUGAAGAAGGCCUUCGGGUUGUAAAGUACUUUCAGUCGUGAGGAAGGUGUUAAGGUUAAUAACCUUAGCAAUUGACGUUAGCGACAGAAGAAGCACCGGCUAACUCCGUGCCAGCAGCCGCGGUAAUACGGAGGGUGCGAGCGUUAAUCGGAAUUACUGGGCGUAAAGGGCACGCAGGCGGUUAAUUAAGUUGGAUGUGAAAUCCCCGGGCUUAACCUGGGAAUGGCAUUCAAGACUGGUUAGCUAGAGUCUUGUAGAGGGGGUAGAAUUCCAUGUGUAGCGGUGAAAUGCGUAGAGAUGUGGAGGAAUACCGGUGGCGAAGGCAGCCCCUGGGACAAAGACUGACGCUCAUGUGCGAAAGCGUGGGGAGCAAACAGGGAUUAGAUACC
rnacentral:rRNA from 1 species